AGCAAGGGUUAAUCAAGUGUAAGAUGAUAAACAUCAUGGACUCGACGAUACCAAUAACCAGACGACAUCAGUAUUCGCUAUGUGGACAGGUACCUAGAGUUUCAGUGUCUGAACUCUGAAAUCCCUAUAACCUACUCUUGCCCUCAGUCAGACUGCUGUUCAAAGUAAGACAAGUUCUAGUUAAGUUUGAGAUCAAGAUUUAACUAUUGAAGUCGACUGCAGGGCGCAGGCAACGACUGGCAACGGGAGAUCAGAAAUUCAGCUUGAUCAGACUUAAGUAUGCUUCAUGAUGAAAAACGAAAGACAUCAAACUUGGUUAAAUGGUAUACAGAUCAACGAUUGGACAUUCCUUCUACUUUAAUGCUACAUCAACAUGUAAUACUUGAUAGACAAUAACCUUCAAAUAUUUUGUGACUGAACUGUGAAAUGUGAACACAAUCCCAACCCUUCAAUUAUGAUAGGAUUUACCUCGACCAAUAUAUAUAUUACAACUAUGACAGUGGGUUGCAUGUACAUACGAUGUUUCAGGAAGCCCGUGAACCCGGCUUGUAAUAUGCAAUUUUUCAGCAUUUAUAUCUGUGAUAGCUGCACUGAAAGUAUUUUGGGGUCUCGUAUUUGUAGUUUGUACGUGUGAAAUUUACUCUUUACUGUUUAUAUUUCAUAUGUUAUUUAUCAUAUUUGGCUUUUGUAAUUGAUCGUGGAUGAUUAAACUUAACUUAUAACUGUUGUGCAUGUUGAUGAUUGGCGAUUGGCAAAUGGCAUACUUAUAUUGACUGUAUUGAGUUAUUGAUGGGAUGAAAUGUAUUAGAAUUCUUGUUCUGCUUAAACAGACCGCUUCAAAUUAA